rnacentral:ncRNA from 2 species
UACGGAGGGUGCAAGCGUUAAUCGGAAUUACUGGGCGUAAAGGGUGUGUAGACGGUUUGAUAAGUUAAGUGUGAAAGACCUGGGCUUAACCUGGGGGUGUCACUUAAGACUGUUAGACUAGAGUAUGGGAGAGGGUAGUGGAAUUUCCGGUGUAGCGGUGAAAUGCGUAGAGAUCGGAAGGAACACCAGUGGCGAAGGCGGCUACCUGGCCCAAUACUGACGUUGAGGCACGAAAGCGUGGGGAGCAAACAGG